rnacentral:lncRNA from 1 species
AUCAUAAAUAACCACUAAAAAAAUAACAUCUUUAUAUAAAAUAUGGAGUCGACUUUUAAUGUGAUUCUCUUUCACCUUGAUUUUUUUUUUCUUUUAAAUGCUUGCUAUUAAAUGACAAAGUGGCUGCGGCUGGUACAGGAAGGCUCUGAGGAUCGGUGUGGGGUUGCGGUGGCCCAGGCCAUCUGAGCUGAGGGACAGAGCCAGAGGAGUCUGUCAACUUGGGAAGGACAGAAGUACAAGUGCGUUUUAACAUCCUCAGUGGCGGUAGUGAGAGGACAAAUACUUUCAGAAUGAGUAUUUUCUUGAAAAAAUAUCUUGAAAAGUUACUAAAUCACAGAACUCAUCAAACGUGAUCAGACCAGCAAAGUGGAAUCAGUCAUUAAGAGUUCAAAGGGAUUGGAGUUGUUACAGUUGAAUCUUUCUUGGUACAGAUGAGGAAACUGAGGUCCCUUG